rnacentral:misc_RNA from 1 species
GUGAAGAACGCAGCGAAAUGCGAUAAGUAGUGUGAAUUGCAGAAUUCAGUGAAUCAUCGAAUCUUUGAACGCACAUUGCGCCCUUUGGUAUUCCAAAGGGCAUGCCUGUUCGAGCGUCAUUUGUACCCUCAAGCUUUGCUUGGUGUUGGGCGUCUUGUCUCUAGCUUUGCUGGAGACUCGCCUUAAAGUAAUUGGCAGCCGGCCUACUGGUUUCGGAGCGCAGCACAAGUCGCACUCUCUAUCAGCAAAGGUCUAGCAUCCACUAAGCCUUUUUUUCAACUUUUGACCUCGGAUCAGGUAGGGAUACCCGCUGAACUUAAGCAUAUCAAUAAGCGGAGGA